rnacentral:rRNA from 1 species
AUGAACGCUGGCGGCGUGCUUAACACAUGCCAGUCGAACGGAAGGGCUCCUGCUUGCCGGGGUACUCGAGUGGCGAACGGGUGAGUAACACGUGGGUGAUCUGCCCUGCACUUCGGGAUAAGCCUGGGAAACUGGGUCUAAUACCGGAUAGGACCACAUUUUGGAUGGUGUGGUGGAAAGUUUUUCGGUGUGGGAUGAGCUCGCGGCCUAUCAGCUUGUUGGUGGGGUAAUGGCCUACCAAGGCGUCGACGGGUAGCCGGCCUGAGAGGGUGUACGGCCACAUUGGGACUGAGAUACGGCCCAGACUCCUACGGGAGGCAGCAGUGGGGAAUAUUGCACAAUGGGCGCAAGCCUGAUGCAGCGACGCCGCGUGGGGGAUGACGGCCUUCGGGUUGUAAACUCCUUUCGCUAGGGACGAAGCGCAAGUGACGGUACCUGGAGAAGAAGCACCGGCUAACUACGUG